GCAAAGCAUAAGGAUGAAAGGUUUAAAUCAAAAGUGGACAUAUCAAGUCUUUGCUGCCCUCUCUUGAUUGGAGACUGAGAUUAACAGGAAAGCUGUUAUCGUCAGCUUGUCCCCAGUACAAAAACUGCCCUGUAAGACAACACAUAGAAGCUGACAGCAAG
rnacentral:lncRNA from 1 species